rnacentral:rRNA from 1 species
GACGAACGCUGGCGGCGUGCCUAAUACAUGCAAGUAGGACGCAGUUGCGAACGGGUGAGUAACGCGUAGGUAAUUGCCUAUUAGAGGGGGAUAACUAUUGGAAACGAUAGCUAAUACCGCAUACUAGUAGAUGGACCUGCGUUGUAUUAGCUAGUAGGUAGGGUAAUGGCCUACCUGGGCGACGAUACAUAGCCGACCGGAGAGGGGGAUCGGCCACACUGGUACUGAGACACGGCCGGGAUUCCUACGGGAGGCAGCAGGAGGGAUGCUUCGGCAAUGGGGGGAAACCUGACCGAGCAACGCCGAGUGAGUGAAGAGGGUUUUCGGAUCGUAAAGCUCUGUUGUUAAGGAAGCGGUACUUAACCAGAAAGGGACGGCUAACUACGUGCCAGCAGCCGCGGUAAUUC